rnacentral:rRNA from 1 species
AAAUAAUGCGGUUCAAGAGCAAAUGGCGGAUGCCUUGGCACAAAGUGGCGAUGAAGGACGCAGCAGACUGCGAUAAGCCUCGGGGAGCUGUCAAGCAAGCUUUAAUCCGGGGAUUUCCGAAUGGGGAAACCCACCCGUCCCAAUUUUGUCUGGUUAGUUUUGGUUAAGGAACUAAAAAACAGCUUGAAAUGAAAAACGAGAUAAAAUUAGGACGGGGAUUCUGUACUGAAUUCAUAGGUGCAGAAAGCCAACCCAGCGAAUUGAAACAUCUUAGUAGCUGGAGGAAAAGAAAACAAAAGUUAUUCCCUAAGUAGUGGCGAGCGAAAGGGGAAAAGCCCAAACUCAAUUGCUUUAAUUGAGGGUUGAAAGGUCGAUAGCGUUAAAGCUAGUUUAUUUUUUUGCAACGAUUAGGAGCGAGAUAAAUUUUGAAGACAAAUCCGGAUCGUUGUAAACUUAAAUUAGUUUUACAAAGUUGAUAAUCGUUAGCCGAACAUGUCUGGAAAGACCGGCGAUACAGGGUAACAGCCCCGUAGGCGAAAACGGUUAAACGCUUUGAGUUAUCUAUUCUUGAGUAACCUGGGACCAGCGAAAUCCCAGGUGAAGUUGCCGGUACUACCCGGUAAGGCUAAAUACACUUUGUGACCGAUAGUGAACUAGUACCGUGAGGGAAAGGUGAAAAGCACCCCGAAAGGGGAGUGAAAUAGUCCCUGAAACCAUUUGCUUACAAGGAGUCAGAGCUCGCUUCGGCGGGUGAUGGCGUGCCUUUUGCAGAAUGAGCCAACGAGUUAAUUUCAACGGCUUGGUUAAGCUACUUUGGUAGUGGAGCCAUAGCGAAAGCGAGUCUUAAGCGGCGUUUGUCGUUGGGAUUAGACCCGAAUCCGGGUGAGCUAACCAUGGACAGGAUGAAGUUGCUGUAACAGGCAGCGGAGGUCCGCACCCUAACAUCGUUCGACAUGUUGGGAUGAGCUGUGGUUAGAGGUGAAAUGCUAAUCGAACCCGGCGAUAGCUGGUUUUCUCCGAAAUAUACCUCGGUAUAACCUUGAAGUAGUUGGCAUUGGAGGUAGAGCACUGAUUGAGUGUUCGUGGCUUUUGCCUAGGACGCCCAAACAAACUCCGAAUUCCAAUGUACCAAGCUUAAAGAGUCAGCGUGUGGGGGCUAAGCUUCAUGCGCAAGAGGGAAACAACCCAGAUCAUCAGCUAAGGUCCCUAAAUCCAUGUUGAGUGGAAAAGGGAGUAAGACUUCAUAAACAGCUAGGAGGUUGGCUUAGAAGCAGCCAUUCCUUUAAAGAGUGCGUAAUAGCUCACUGGUCUAGUCGUCUUGCACCAAAGAUAUAACGGGGCUAAACAUGGUACCGAAGCUAUGAUUCAGUCAUGCUUGCAUGACUGAAGGUAGGAGAACAUUCCAUAAGCGGUGAAGCUUAAUCGUGAGGUUAGGUGGAGUUUAUGGAAGAGAGAAUGUUGGCAUGAGUAACCGCAAGCAAGGUGAGAUUCCUUGCCGCCGAAAGCUUGAGGUUUCCUGGGCGAUGAUAAUCAUCCCAGGGUUAGUCGGUCCUAAGGCGAGGCCGAAAGGCGUAGUCGAUGGACACAAGGUUAAUAUUCCUUGACUUGGUUAGGUUUUUUAAUAGAGUGCGGAGUCGAGUGGUUCAGGCGCCUUAAUGGUUUGGCGUCCGUUCCGGCGGAAAUGUGAAACGCAAGUGGAUCAAAUCUGAGCGAAUCGACUUCCUGGAAAAGCUUUAUUAAUUAUAAUUUAACCAAUCCGUACUUAAACCGACACAGGUGAGCAGGGCGAGUAGCCCAAGGCGAACGGGAGAACCCUUGUUAAGGAACUCGGCAAAACAGCGGCCGUAACUUUGGGAUAAGGCCUACCAGCCCUAUUUUUUGUUAUUUUAAGAUUUUUUAUUAUGAAAUUAUGAAUUAAAUUAUAUUUCUUUGUUUAAUGGAAUAAGAGAAAAAAUCAUGACAAAAAUUAGGGCUGGUCGCAGCUAAAGACUCCAGGCGACUGUUUAUCAAAAACAUAGGUCCGUGCUAACCCGUAAGGGGAUGUAUACGGGCUGACCCCUGACCAGUGCUGGAAGGUUAACAGGAACGGUUAACGCCAAUCCUCGAAGCCCCAGUGAACGUCAGCGAUAACUAUAAUCGUUCUAAGGUAGCGAAUUUCCUUGUCUGGUAAAUUCAGACCUGCACGAAUGGGGUAACGACUUGGGGACUGUCUCAACAAGGGACCCGGUGAAAUUGCACUAGCGGUGAAGAUGCCGUUUGCCUAUGGAAAGACGGAAAGACCCCGUGGAGCUUUACUACAGCUUGACAUUGAUUUAUAUAAUUUAUUGCUCAGCAUAGGUGGGAGGCUUGGAAAUCAAUCCUUCGGGAUUGGUGGAGCCAAAAGUGAGAUACCACCCUAUAGGUUGUGUAGAUCUAACCCUGAGCCGCAAUUUGAUGAUCUGAGAGUUCAGAAAAUCAAGUUCCGGUUCGGGGACAGUGUCUGGUGGGUAGUUUGAGUGGGGCGCUCGACUCCUAAAUUGUAACGGAGUCGUUCACAAAGGUCGGCUAGGUCCGGAUGGAAAUCGGGCCGAUAGCACAAAAGCAGAUGCCGGCUUUACUGCAAGACCUAUAAGUCGCGCAGUCGCGAAAGCGGGAUUUAGUGAUCCGACCGUGGAUCGUAGGAUCGCGGAAGCUCAGCAGAUAAAAGUUACCCCGGGGAUAACAGAGUGGUAGCCUCCGAUAGCUCAUAUAGACGAGGCUGUUCGCUACCUCGAUGUCGGCUCAUCACAUCCUGGUGCCGGAGCAGGUGCCAAGGGUUUGGCUGUUCGCCAAUUAAAGUGGUACGCGAGCUGGGUUCAGACCGUCGUGAGACAGGUUGGUCCCUAUCUUCCAUAGGCGCGAAAAAGCUUGAGGGAUGUCAUUCCUAGUACGAGAGGACCGGAAUGAACCGACCUCUGGUGUACCAGCUGUUCCUACCAAGGGCAUUGCUGGGUAGCUAUAGUCGGGUGUGGAUAAGCGCUGAAGGCAUAUAAGCGCGAAGCCCAGCCCAAGAUCAGGCUUAGAUCUCCUCAAAGACUAUGAGGUUGAUAGGAUGCAGGUGUAAGCAUGGCAACAUGUUGAGCCGAGCAUUACUAAUAGAUCGUUAACCGCAUUU